UCGGACGUGGUGCGCGGUGCCCGCCUGUUUCUCAUUCCAAUGCCGAAAUAUUACGAGGAUAUGUGGGAGACCCGGGUUCGAAUCCCGGCGUUCGAA